GGUUAAGCGACUAAGCGUACACGGUGGAUGCCCUGGCAGUCAGAGGCGAUGAAGGACGUGCUAAUCUGCGAAAAGCGACGGCGAGGUGAUAUGAACCUUUGACCCGUCGAUGUCCGAAUGGGGAAACCCAGUGUGUUCCGACACACUAUCGUUAACUGAAUACAUAGGUUAACGAGGCGAACCGGGGGAACUGAAACAUCUAAGUACCCCGAGGAAAAGAAAUCAACCGAGAUUCCCCCAGUAGCGGCGAGCGAACGGGGAGCAGCCCGGAGUCUGAAUCAGCUUGUGUGUUAGUGGAACGGUCUGGAAAGUCCGACGGUACAGGGUGAUAGUCCCGUACACGAAAAUGCACAGGUUGUGAACUCGAAGAGUAGGGCGGGACACGUGGUAUCCUGUCUGAAUAUGGGGGGACCAUCCUCCAAGGCUAAAUACUCCUGACUGACCGAUAGUGAACCAGUACCGUGAGGGAAAGGCGAAAAGAACCCCGGCGAGGGGAGUGAAAAAGAACCUGAAACCGUGUACGUACAAGCAGUGGGAGCACCUUCGGGUGUGACUGCGUACCUUUUGUAUAAUGGGUCAGCGACUUAUAUUCUGUAGCAAGGUUAACCGUAUAGGGGAGCCGAAGGGAAACCGAGUCUUAACUGGGCGUUAAGUUGCAGGGUAUAGACCCGAAACC
rnacentral:rRNA from 1 species